GGCUGCAAUUAUGCAUUAAUAGGGAAUGCGGUUAGAAUCCGCAGCAGUCCCCGCUACUGUGUGAAGGACGAAAAUCUGCCGGACAUGUUUAUGUCGGUCACUGAUAAUUUCGGGAAGACUAUGCAGAUUAUUAGGUUGAUUUCAAGCCAGGAGACCUGCCGUAAAAGUAUU
rnacentral:ncRNA from 1 species